CUAGCGCAAACGAUUUCUACUCCAAUGAAUUCUUCCCGCCAAAGUUAAAAUUGCCUAAACCAUUUUUGUUUUGGCAGCUGUGCAUAGCAGCAUAAUCGUUUGACAUCAAAGAAUAUGUACUUAACUUAAAAACACCUGCUAGUCUUAGAGCGUUCAAGAAUUCCCUGUUCACAGUGUUCGAAUUCUUUAGGAAGUCAUCUGACUCAACAUCAAACCAUUUACAAGAUGCGAGUCAUGAUAUUCUGGUUGCUGUUAAGGUAUGAAAAGGGGAUCUGGUAAACCUGUAACAGAAUUGUUGGCUCAAAACCUGAUUUCCCGAAAGAUUCUCGAUGUAUAGGAGCUAAAUGCUUGAUAAAUUCGUCGAGAACAUUAUGUUAUGCUAUACCUCUGGUAUGGUGAAAAAGUUUGGAGAGAUGGAUACCGGCCUCGUCAUCUGACCAUAGUUUAGAAGUAUGAAAUACAUCCCAAAAUAGCCGACGAGUAGCUUCAAAGCAACACUUUCAUUUAAUUAAAUAAAUCCGAGUGUGAAAAACGGAUUUCAUUUCAAGUCUUUAAAAGUUCUUGUUCGGAA